rnacentral:rRNA from 2 species
ACAUGGAUACAGGUGGUGCAUGGUUGUCGUCAGCUCGUGUCGUGAGAUGUUGGGUUAAGUCCCGCAACGAGCGCAACCCUUAUUAUCAGUUGCCAGCAUUAAGUUGGGCACUCUGGUGAGACUGCCGGUGACAAACCGGAGGAAGGUGGGGAUGACGUCAAAUCAUCAUGCCCCUUAUGACCUGGGCUACACACGUGCUACAAUGGAUGGUACAACGAGUUGCGAACUCGCGAGAGUAAGCUAAUCUCUUAAAGCCAUUCUCAGUUCGGAUUGUAGGCUGCAACUCGCCUACAUGAAGUCGGAAUCGCUAGUAAUCGCGGAUCAGCAUGCCGCGGUGAAUACGUUCCCGGGCCUUGUACACACCGCCCGUCACACCAUGAGAGUUUGUAACACCCAAAGUC